AUUGAACGCUGGCGGCAGGCCUAACACAUGCAAGUCGAGCGGAGCGGCGGACGGGCGAGUAAUGCCUAGGAAUCUGCCUGGGAGUGGGGGAUAACGUCCGGAAACGGGCGCUAAUACCACAUACUAUCAGAUGAGCCUAGGUCGGAUUAGCUAGUUGGUGGGGUAAAGGCCUACAAAGGCGACGAUCCGGAACUGGUCUGCGAGGGUGAUCAGUCACACUGGAACUGAGGCACGGUCGAGACUCCUACGGGAGGCAGCAGUGGGGACUAUUUGACAAUGGGCGAAAGCCUGAUCCAGCCAUGCCGCGUGUGUGAAGAAGGUCUUCGGAUUGUAAAGCACUGUAAGUUGGGAGGCGUUACCAACAGAAUAAGCACCGGCUAACUUCGUGCCAGCAGCCGCGGUAAUAC
rnacentral:rRNA from 1 species